CCCUUAGAUGUUCUGGGCCGCACGCGCGCUACACUGACGAAUGCAACGAGCUUAUAACCUUGGCCGAAAGGUCUGGGUAAUCUCCAAAUUUCGUCGUGAUGGGGAUAGAUUAUUGCAAUUAUUAAUCUUCAACGAGGAAUGCCUAGUAAGCGCAAGUCAUCAGCUUGCGUUGAUUACGUCCCUGCCCUUUGUACACACCGCCCGUCGCUCCUACCGAUUGAAUGGUCCGGUGAAAUCUUCGGAUCUGAGAGAUGUUGGAUUAAUUUCUGACGCCUUUUGGAAAAGUCGCUUAAACCUUAUCAUUUAGAGGAAGGUGAAGUCGUAACA
rnacentral:rRNA from 1 species